UACGUAGGUGGCGAGCGUUGUCCGGAAUUACUGGGUGUAAAGGGCGUGUAGGCGGGAUUGCAAGUCAGAUGUGAAAUUCUUGGGCUUAACCCAAGGGCUGCAUCUGAAACUGUAGUUCUUGAGUGCUGGAGAGGAUAGUGGAAUUCCUAGUGUAGCGGUGAAAUGCGUAGAUAUUAGGAGGAACACCAGUGGCGAAGGCGGCUAUCUGGACAGUAACUGACGCUGAGGCGCGAAAGCGUGGGGAGCAAACAGG
rnacentral:rRNA from 1 species